GACGAGCGCUGGCGGCGUGCUUAACACAUGCAAGUCGAACGAUGAAGUUCCUUCGGGAAUGGAUUAGUGGCGAACGGGUGAGGAACACGUGAGAAACCUGCCUUUCAUUUUGGGAUAACUCCGGGAAACCGGGGCUAAAACCGAAUACUCCGUCUCGGCGGCAUCGCUGAGCCGGGAAAAAAUUUUGAUGAAAGAUGGUCUCGCGGCCUAUCAGCUAGUUGGUGAGGUAAUGGCUCACCAAGGCAACGACGGGUAGCCGGCCUGAGAGGGCGACCGGCCAGACUGGGACUGAGACACGGCCCAGACUCCUACGGGAGGCAGCAGUGGGGAAUAUUGGGCAAUGGGCGCAAGCCUGACCCAGCGACGCCGCGUGAGGGAUGAAGGCCUUCGGGUUGUAAACCUCUUUCAGUAGGGAAGAAGCGAAAGUGACGGUACCUAAAGAAGAAGCACCGGCUAACUAUGUGCCAGCCGCCGCGGUAA
rnacentral:rRNA from 1 species